rnacentral:rRNA from 1 species
CACGUAGGGGGCAAGCGUUGUCCGGAUUCAUUGGGCGUAAAGAGCUCGUAGGCGGUUCGAUAAGUCGGGUGUGAAACCUCCAGGCUCAACCUGGAGACGCCACCCGAUACUGUCGUGACUAGAGUCCAGUAGGGGAGCGUGGAAUUCCUGGUGUAGCGGUGAAAUGCGCAGAUAUCAGGAGGAACACCGGUGGCGAAGGCGGGACUCUGGGCCGAUACUGACGCUGAGGAGCGAAAGCGUGGGGAGCAAACAGG